UCCAAAGGUGAUUCAGGCUGCAAAGGACAGAGAGGAGCUCAAUAAGAAAUCUUUAUCUCAGCAAAAAAUGACAUACAGUUCAGAAAUAUAAUUAAAACUGGAGCGUUUUUAGUGAAAUGUUGAAGUGACAAGAUACAGUUCAUAAAAUAUAAUAGUAUAAAAUGAUUAAUACCUGCUAAACUAUGUGUUAAAACAAAUCAUAGAUUUAGCAUUAGUUUAGAUUAAACAUAAAAAAAAAAAGUUUUAUUACAACAAAAGGCCAGCCUUAGUGAUACCAAGAAAUGACGUUAACAUAGUCAUCUCUUAUUAAAGAAUCCAGCCAUAUACUCCAAUGAAAAAGAGAGGAAUUUUCAGAAAAUGUCCUUUCCCUCAGCUCAUGGAAAUAAUCCUAACCCUACAAAUGCAGAUGGCACUGAGCCAAUAGUAACACAUGAUUCAAAUGACAGGAAAAGCAAAUAAGUAAAAAGUUAAUGAUGGAAACAGAAGAAGCCCAUUGACAUAAGACUGUGAUAAAGAAUGUUAAGUAUCUUUAACUAUUGGAGAAAAAACUAAAUUUCAGAAAAAGAAUACCAGAGUUGGAAGGGACCUUGAAGAUCUUCUAAUCCAACCCUCUGCUCAAGCAUGAAAACCUAUACCAGUUUCAAUUUUAUUUUAUUUUUUGCAUUGCAAAAGCAAUAUGGAUUAUGCAUUAUGGCUAAACAAUAAAGAGCUUUUCUCUUGUU